GGAAGAUGGACUUGUCAUAAAAGGGGAGACAUGUCGAGUAGGUGCUACUUAGCCAGAUAAAUUCCAGAGAAAGGGCAAGAGCCGAGCGUGUGGUGGGAAAGGACCAGCAACAUGGAGAGGUGGAAUUGGACGCUUACUCAAACAUCCAGAGGUAGCCAACUUUUCCAAGACAUUUCUUGCAGACUCCAGUCUCACCUUCUGUGAUGUGUUCACCAUCGACAGUGGAACAAGGUUGGUCUAUUUUAGUAUCAUUCAUUUUCCUAGCUUAGUCUUAAACAGCUAAUGUACAUGCAUGUUUGGUAAAUUAAUUUGCUGCCACAUUAAAUAACAUCCAAUAUUUAGAAGCCAACAGCAUAUAGCUACUAAAGCCAUUUAUUUUAGCAUUGUCCACACGUUUAUGACAAUGAGGAUACAUUCAGGAUUGGUGUCUGACCAGGGUGUACUCUUCUUGUAAGCCCUGCUUUAUCACUCAACAUUUUUCUUUUAUGACUCUUAAUCAAUUCUUUGUCUUUAAUAUCUCUCUAAUAAAAUAAUAAAUAAUAAAAUGUUACGGGCACAUUGUAUCUGAAUGCUCAACACUUUGCUUCUCCUAAUUGCACUAAGUUAGGGUAAGACAUCAAGAUCAAUCUUUAUUUCCAGGACAAGCUGA